ensembl:lncRNA
GUCUCAGGAAGUGAGACUCUGGGUAGAGACUCUCUGGAGGUGGCUCUCUGCAGGUGAACUGAGCGACGGGAUUCAAAGCACAGGCUGGUCAUUUGGAGACAAGGUGCCAGUGCGGCAUGUUAGGUGAGAGCUGUUUGCUGGGGCCUUUGGUUCUACUCUGGCUUCCCCCUCCCCAUCACAACCAACACCACCACCAACACCAUCCAGCCCUGACCCUCCACCAGUGACAUUACCAGGGAUGAGACAGCCCACACAAAGUAACGGCGACCUCCAGAGCCUGGCCUCGGGAAGGAGUUGGAGGGUGAGGGCUUUCAUGCGGAAAAAGAUGGGGAACCUGUCACGGUGGCUGUGCGCCACAAUCCCUCGUCUCUGCCAGCAGGACACUACUUCUGUGGAGUUAUUGUGUGCAAAAUUGAAUGCACACAGUGUUCCUUAUGGUCUCACUGGGUGUGUGUGGGAAGGUGUGAAUAUCUUGCCUGCCAAUGAGCGGCACAGGAGGGUGUCAGGGAACCUUGAACUGCUGCCUUGCAUGGUUAUCACGUGUGCAUGAAUGAAUGGGUGACUGUCAGGCAGUUUGAUUUUUAUUCUUUUUUAUCUUAUCCUAGCUAUCAGUGUUCUAUGCAGGGAAUGGGUUAACCUAGCGAUUGUUAGUGCUUGGCACUUGGUUCUAUGAACACUGUCGUACAUACUGUACUGACAGUGCGGUAUGUUGUUUCUUUCUUCUAAGAAAUGUACUUAUUGUAAGUCACUUUUGAUAUAAGCAUCUGCUGAACCCAAUGAAUGCACGUGGCCACUCAGAAAAGCGCAAAUGCAAUCCAUCCUUUGUUCCAAAAUCAGUCUUACUCUGUUUGUUGGGAUUUGUGCCAUGUAUUAUGUGACUUAUCAAUGUGUUCAAAAAAUCUCUACUUCUAUAUCUGACACUGUAGAUAAUGAUUGUGUCAUACUUAUUUUAUUUUAACAAUAUGUGCCACUUUUGUGCUUGUAUACUUUACUAAAACAACAGAAGCCAGGGGCGUUGUCAUCCCUUGGACAACCUGUACGUAUGCUUUGUUGUUCUGAAUAAACUUUG